AGCAGCCGCGGUAAUUCCAGCUCCAAUAGCGUAUAUUAAAGUUGUUGCAGUUAAAAAGCUCGUAGUUGAACUUCGGGGUUCACCCAUUGGUCAGGCUUAAUUGUCUGUACUGGUGAGAUGAGUCUCUACCUUCUGAGGAACUUUCAUGCCAUUCGUUUGGUGUGAUGGGAAAUCAGGACUGUUACUUUGAAAAAAUUAGAGUGUUUAAAGCAGGCUAACGUCUGAAUACAUUAGCAUGGAAUAAUGAAAUAGGACGGAUUGAUUCUAUUUCGUUGGUUUCUAGGGUCACCGUAAUGAUUAAUAGGGAUAGUUGGGGGCAUUAGUAUUCAAUUGUCAGAGGUGAAAUUCUUGGAUUUAUUGAAGACUAACUACUGCGAAAGCAUUUGCCAAGGAUGUUUUCAUUAAUCUAAGAACGAAAGUUAGGGGAUCGAAGACGGAUCAGAUACCGUCGUAGUCUUAACCAUAAACCUAUGCCGACUAGGGAUCGGACGAAGUUAAUUUUAUAAUUGACGCGUUCGGC
rnacentral:rRNA from 1 species